rnacentral:rRNA from 1 species
GAUGAACGCUGGCGGUCUGCUUAACACAUGCAAGUCGAACGGAAUCCUUCGGGAUUUAGUGGCGGACGGGUGAGUAACGCGUGAGAAUCUGCCUUCAGGUUCGGGACAACAGCUGGAAACGGCUGCUAAUACCGGAUGUGCCGAGAGGGGAAAGCUUUAGUGCCUGAAGAUGAGCUCGCGUCUGAUUAGCAAGUAGGAGUGGUAAUGGCACCCCUAGGCGACGAUCAGUAGCUGGUCUGAGAGGAUGAUCAGCCACACUGGGACUGCGACACGGCCCAGACUCCUACGGGAGGCAGCAGUGGGGAAUUUUCCGCAAUGGGCGCAAGCCUGACGGAGCAAGACCGCGUGAGGGAAGAAGGUCUGUGGAUUGUAAACCUCUUUUGAUGGGGAAGAAGACAGUGACGGUACCCAUCGAAUCAGCCUCGGCUAACUCCGUGCCAGCAGCCGCCGUAA